rnacentral:rRNA from 1 species
UACGAAGGGGGCUAGCGUUGCUCGGAAUCACUGGGCGUAAAGGGUGCGUAGGCGGGUCUUUAAGUCAGGGGUGAAAUCCUGGAGCUCAACUCCAGAACUGCCUUUGAUACUGAAGAUCUUGAGUUCGGGAGAGGUGAGUGGAACUGCGAGUGUAGAGGUGAAAUUCGUAGAUAUUCGCAAGAACACCAGUGGCGAAGGCGGCUCACUGGCCCCGAUACUGACGCUGAGGCACGAAAGCGUGGGGGGAGCAAACAGGAUUAGAUACCCUGGUAGUCCACGCCGUAAACGAUGAAUGCCAGCCGUUAGUGGGUUUACUCACUAGUGGCGCAGCUAACGCUUUAAGCAUUCCGCCUGGGGAGUACGGUCGCAAGAUUAAAACUC